AUUCAUUGUGACAUGAUCAAAUGUAGUUGCCAUGCUAUACAGAACAUCUCCAGAGCUCAUUCCUGGGAAAAUGUGAAAAGGGGAAAUAACAUAUUUUAAGAUGACAAAAUGGUUGCUAUUCAAAGAACAUAUACUGGGUAUUUUGGUUUGGAAUGAAGUGCCCCUUCCAGAUUUAUGUGUUAAAGCCUCAACUGUUGUCACCUUGAAGGAAGGUUUUGAAAACUUAGGAGGUAGGCAGGUCACUAGACAGGUGGGUGGGUCCUUGCAUGUAUCUCUGCCCUUGCUCCUUUCUUGGUUGCCAUAAUGUGAACUGUCAUUCUUUGCCAAGAUUUCCCUGCUGUUGUGGACUGAUUUCUCUAGAAUCAUGAGCCGUAAUAAAUUCCUCUUAGAAAUCCCAGCUCGGGAGGCAGAGGUAGAAGGAUCUCUGAGUUCAAGGCCAGCCUGGUCUACAGAGUGAGUUCAAGACCAACCAAAGCUACACACGGAAAAACCCAGUCUCAAAAAAGGUUGGGGAGGGGUGUGGCCUGGAGAGAUGGCUCAGCAGUUAAGAACACUGACUGUUCUUCUAGAGGUCCUGAGUUCAAUUUCCAGCAACCACAUGAUGGGUACAGUGUACUCAUGUAAAUAAAAUAAAUUAAAAAAAAAAAAAA
rnacentral:lncRNA from 1 species